CCUCCAUUGUGAUACAACCAACACCUGGAUUUUCAGGCAGAAUGAGACCAACUGAGUUUCUGCUACUUGAUGUUUUCUGGCGCCAAGUUCUAAUUCAGCUGUAAACUCCUUGAGUGAAUCACAGCCCCACAAAAUUCAUGAGCCUGGAAGCAGAUUAGAACUUGCCUAGGAUUUAUAACUACAGCUCGAGGAAGACUACAAAAGACAACGAGCUGGUACGCACCCAGCGAAUGAGAGACGGGGCAUGAGGUCAUCAAAUCUACAAAGAUUUGGAGCCAGGAGACAGAGG
rnacentral:lncRNA from 1 species